ACUGGUCGGCCGUCUAUUCCUCCCAGAUGCGACCCGACAACGCGAACGUGGUGCACCUCCUCCCGAACCACGCUCAGCUAUAGAGCCCGCUGCUACUUCCUCCCAGCAGCGGGCUUCUUCA
rnacentral:sRNA from 1 species